CAUUUGAUCAAUUUAAUUGCUGGAUAAAAGUGUUAGUUACUUUAAGAAUCUUACUAACCCCAAACGUGAACAGAAGUGUGUAUGUUUUAAACAGCCAGUGCAGGUUUACAGGACAUGCAGACAAAGUUGAAUGUGUUCUGCCCUUGUCCAAUCAAUGUUAUUAGCCUCUUACAUAUGCAAAUAAGAAUGUUAACGUAGGGUUUACCAUUGUACAGUGAGAAAUCUCAAAACUGAAUUACCACAAUUAAGAAUGAACAAUGUAAAACAAGGUAAUCCUGACUUGUUUUUUUUUUUUUCUCUCCAAGUUGUGGAACUUUGAGACCAGUAAAAAGAAAGCCGAAUGCAAUGGGCACCUGAGUUGGGUUCAUUGUGUCCAGUUUUCACCUGACGGCUCACUCCUGUUGUCCUCCUCUGAUGAUCAGACCAUCAGGCUGUGGGAGACUGAUCGGGUUCACACCUCCUCUGCUGUGGCUCUGAAGAGGGAUUCUGAUGUUCUCUUCUCCCAAAGUGAUGUUACAAUAGUGGCAUCAGACAGCAGAAACCGAUUACAGGUACGGACCGGAUUGGCAGGUGCCGUUGUGUUUGAGAGCGAAGAGUUGCCAUCCAGGAUUCGCUGUACUUGCAUCAGCAGAAAUGCUUCGCGUGUGGCCCUGGGAACUGACAACGGAACUGUACAGGUAUUUCAGCUCACCUGUGGGGUAUCGUCAUUGCCAGUGCUCUCUUCCUAAUGUUCUACUCAAUUUCUUGGGUUUUUGGAUGAGCAUGCAAAGCACUCUGGGUAAAAAUAGCCUUCAGGAUGCUUGUGGGUGUUUUGACUCCCCUCUGGCAAUGAGAUUUGUCAUGGCUGUCAACUGCACUCAGCCCUCUAAUCUCUCGCCCUUCCUUUCCCAAACCCAUUCCUUCCCUUCCGUCUCUACUGAAUGUCGUCAUGCUGGAGGCGAGCGUUGUCCUCCUGUGUUGCACAGCGUGUACUGUAGUGUAAUAGAUGUGACUGGUACAACGGGGAUGCCUAGAGGUAACAGCUGACUGAUAAAUAAGCAGUGUUCUCUCAAUCUUACGUUACACCUGUUUACUGCCCAAUAACCAUUUAUUUAGAUUGCUCCUCUCCAUCUCUGCCUGAUUGUGUGUUCACCUGAAAGAGAGAUGGACAGAUGGAUUUAGAAAAGCGGUAAAAUUUCAUUUUAAAUGAAUAAAACCGUAAACAAUGUAGCCGGUUUAGUACAAAUUAAGUCAG